GGAAUGUGAGUGUUCCCAGUACAAUUCUCUCCACCCCCGCACCCCACCCCCAGUAAAUGUGAAAUUUUUCAUCAUCAAGCGUUGGGGAGAGGGGUGGGGAAUGCUACCUAGGGGUUCCUCUUUGUCCUUCCCCUCAGCCCCGGCCUUCCCGCUACUCCUCAGAAUACUUCGGGCCUCACAGAAAUACUUUCAAAUCAAACUUAAAGCCUCGAGGAAAAAGAAACGUAAAGGGAAAAAAAUAACCUAAGAGGAAAAAAAAAAACCCGAAAACUCUAAGAGAACUAACGACGCUCAAGCGCCGUUUUUCUCCGUAUGCCUCCCAUCUGGACAGCCCUCACCUCAGAGGGUCGACACCUCCCAGUGAGAGGGACUCAACGGCCUUUUCCGGCUCAAACUCUCCCUCGGGCUUAAGAAUAAGCAACGAGACCUUCCUGGGCGGGGCGAGACGCGUCAUGAAUAAUUCAUUACUUCUGCUCGCCUGAUCGGCCCGCCUCGCUCGGUCUCAUGAAUAUGCAAAAAGAGGCGAGCGACGGCUAACGCGCCCCCAGCAAGCCCCGCCCUCCACGCCUGGCCUCCUGGCGCCCGUGAGGAGGUGGUUCCCUGCUCACCUGCCGUCAGGCCUCCGGCUCCAAGGCUCUCCUCCGGCGUUUCCCGCCCUUCCGAGGGUUCGCCGGGCGCUCCCGGGCCUGAGGGACCCGCACCGAGCUCGAGGCGCCGCACACGGACCCCGACGGGGCCUUCGGCUCGGGGCUGCUCCGCCUGGGCAACCCUUACGUCGAGGACAGCCUGCUGCCAGCCUCCCUGAGGAGACGCCUGCCCGCCGAGGUGUUUACUAAAGUGAGCAAGGAUCUUCUGCAGCUGUUUGGAGCCUGAGUGGCAGAUGACACCAACUAACUGGGGACAAGUAUGAGUUACACUCCAAAGGCUGCUGCAGCAGGAUGCCCAGACAGCACGUAGACCACCUCCACACCUGCAGAGCUGAGAGGAUCUCAGCUGAGCAGGUACAGGUAAGAAGAGAAGUUCUCUUGCCUUGGAGCAGUACAGCUGCCUGGGAAACAAGAAGGGUUCCUGCUGCUUCCAGCUCUGGACGACGUGUGAAAGCAGGGAAGCAGGUGUGGAAGGAGGGCAGAGACUGAACCUCAGGAACACCAAUACCAACAUAGGCACAGGGAAAGGAUGAUCUGGCGCAGCCUCUAAGGCCAACUGCAGAGGCAGAAGAGCCAGCAGAAAGGAAACCCACUGCUGGAUUAAGGAUCACUUAAGCACAGAAGACAGAAUACUGAAUACCCUUUGGCAACAAAAUACCACUGCAAAAGGAAAAGGCUAGACAAGGAGCAAUGGAAAGACAGAACUAAAACAAACAAAAGACUUCAUCUUCUGGAAUGCAGUGAGUACUUCACAACUCUGUUUCUGAAAAGCAUGAGUCAGCAACAACUGUGGUUACAGAGAAACAUUACCUAAAUCUACUUCUGGAUGUGUACAUUUAUUUAACAUACCUUCUGGAAUUCAGCUUAAAGGCCUGACAUGUAUUUGA